CGACCGGCGCACGGGUGAGUAACACGUAUGCGACCUGCCCGUAGCAGGGGGAUAAGCGGAAGAAAUUCCGUCUAAUACCGCGUAAUAUCUUUCGGGGGCAUCCCUGAGGGAUUAAAGGAAGUGAUUCCGGCUACGGAUGGGCAUGCGGCGCAUUAGCUAGUCGGCGGGGUAACGGCCCACCGAGGCGACGAUGCGUAGGGGUUCUGAGAGGAAGGUCCCCCACACUGGUACUGAGACACGGACCAGACUCCUACGGGAGGCAGCAG
rnacentral:rRNA from 1 species